rnacentral:rRNA from 1 species
UUGGCCCAGGUGGGAUUAGCUAGUAGGUGGGGUAACGGCUCACCUAGGCGACGAUCCCUAGCUGGUCUGAGAGGAUGAUCAGCCACACUGGAACUGAGACACGGUCCAGACUCCUACGGGAGGCAGCAGUGGGGAAUAUUGCACAAUGGGGGGAACCCUGAUGCAGCCAUGCCGCGUGUGUGAAGAAGGCCUUCGGGUUGUAAAGCACUUUCAGCAGUGAGGAAGAGGUGGUGUUUAAUAGAUG